rnacentral:lncRNA from 1 species
UAUAAAGUGCGAUACGACAUAGAAACGAUUGAAAAAAAACAGAAAUAAACGAAACAAAAUGAAAAUUAAUCAAAAAUAUAAUGACAUCGAUGCGAAAUACUUAUAAAAUAUCCCGUUAAAGUUCAAGUCUUAGGCUGGAUUGUUCACGAUUGAAAAUAAACAGCUGCACCAUGAGCGUAUGAUACGCCCUUCGUCUUGUGUGUGAAGUUAUAUGCAAUAAAUAUAUUAAAUAGUUUCUGAGAUACGGCGCUUCAUGUGAAAAAAAACUUUUUUUACCAAAAUUAAAUUUUGAAUCAUCACCAAAAACUAUACAGAUCUUUAGAUUAAUAUAACUAAGAAAUGUGUAAAGUUGUAAAG